rnacentral:rRNA from 1 species
GAUGAACGCUGGCGGCGUGCCUAAUACAUGCAAGUCGAGCGAACAGACGAGGAGCUUGCUCCUCUGACGUUAGCGGCGGACGGGUGAGUAACACGUGGAUAACCUACCUAUAAGACUGGGAUAACUUCGGGAAACCGGAGCUAAUACCGGAUAAUAUAUUGAACCGCAUGGUUCAAUAGUGAAAGACGGUUUUGCUGUCACUUAUAGAUGGAUCCGCGCCGCAUUAGCUAGUUGGUAAGGUAACGGCUUACCAAGGCGACGAUGCGUAGCCGACCUGAGAGGGUGAUCGGCCACACUGGAACUGAGACACGGUCCAGACUCCUACGGGAGGCAGCAGUAGGGAAUCUGCCGCAAUGGGCGAAAGCCUGGCGGAGCAACGCCGCGUGAGUGAUGAAGGUCUUCGGAGCGUAAAACUCUGUUAUUAGGGAAGAACAAAUGUGUAAGUAACUAUGCACGUCUUGACGGUACCUAGUCAGAAAGCCACGGCUAACUACGUG